UACGAAGGGUGCAAGCGUUACUCGGAAUUACUGGGCGUAAAGCGUGCGUAGGUGGUUUGUUAAGUCUGUUGUGAAAGCCCCGGGCUCAACCUGGGAAUGGCAAUGGAUACUGGCAAGCUAGAGUGCGGUAGAGGGUAGUGGAAUUCCCGGUGUAGCGGUGAAAUGCGUAGAGAUCGGGAGGAACACCAGUGGCGAAGGCGGCGCUCUGGGCCGGUACUGACGCUGAGGAGCGAAAGCGUGGGGAGCAAACAGG
rnacentral:rRNA from 1 species